GGGAAGCGUUUAGCUUCAAUUGGAUUGGAGAACACUGAGGCUAACCGCCAGGCGUAUAGGACCCUACUUGUUUCGGUUCCUGGACUUGGGGACUAUAUCUCUGGUGCCAUCCUCUUUGAGGAGACACUUUAUCAAUCAACUGUCGAAGGAAAGAAAAUUGUUGAUGUGCUGGUUGAGCAAAACAUUGUUCCUGGUAUUAAGGUUGACAAGGUAAAAUAUCUAACCUUAGUGAUUUAAAAGGUCUUAAGUUUCUUUGGUCAUGAAUUUCCAAGAGUUUGAAUAUUCACAGGGUCUUGUUCCCUUGGCUGGCUCAAACGAUGAAUCAUGGUGUCAAGGUCUAGAUGGCCUUGCCU
rnacentral:lncRNA from 1 species